rnacentral:misc_RNA from 1 species
GAAAUGCGAUAAGUAAUGUAAAUUGCAGAAUUCAGUGAAUCAUCGAAUCUUUGAACGCACAUUGCGCCCGCCAGUAUUCUGGCGGGCAUGCCUGUUCGAGCGUCAUUUCAACCAUCAAGCCCCCGGCUUGUGUUGGGGACCUGCGGCUGCCCGCAGGCCCUGAAAAACAGUGGCGGGCUCGCUGUCACACCGAGCGUAGUAGCAUACAUUCUCGCUCAGGGCGUGCUGCGGGUUCCGGCCGUUAAACGACCUUCAUAACCCAAGGUUGACCUCGGAUCAGGUAGGAAGACCCGCUGAACUUAAGC